rnacentral:rRNA from 1 species
GGGAUUGUGCCAGCCGCCGCGGUAAUACGUAGGGUGCGAGCGUUGUCCGGAAUUACUGGGCGUAAAGAGCUCGUAGGUGGUUUGUCGCGUUGUUCGUGAAAUCUCACGGCUUAACUGUGAGCGUGCGGGCGAUACGGGCAGACUAGAGUACUGCAGGGGAGACUGGAAUUCCUGGUGUAGCGGUGGAAUGCGCAGAUAUCAGGAGGAACACCGGUGGCGAAGGCGGGUCUCUGGGCAGUWACUGACGCUGAGGAGCGAAAGCGUGGGGAGCGAACAGGAUUAGAUACCCUGGUAGUCCACGCCGUAAACGGUGGGUACUAGGUGUGGGUUUCCUUCCUUGGGAUCCGUGCCGUAGCUAACGCAUUAAGUACCCCGCCUGGGGAGUACGGCCGCAAGGCUAAAACUCAAAGGAAUUGACGG